rfam:Schistocephalus solidus strain NST_G2 genome assembly, scaffold: SSLN_scaffold0000210
CUAGAUACGGAGAUAUGGUUCCCAAAACAAUCAUGGGCCAAAUUGUCGGAGGCAUGUGUGCUCUCUCAGGAGUGCUCGUAAUUGCUCUGCCAGUCCCAUUUAUCGUUUCGAAC